GUAGGUGAACCUGCGGAAGGAUCAUUAACACGUAUCCAAACGUUAAAACCCCCCCCGUGAACUUUCAAUCCUGCUCUUGUAACCCGCGUAGUUCGCAAUCUCUGGUAAAUCAAAGUGGGAGGAAAGUUGUUUGAUUCAGAGACCUCUGGCUACGUGAGAACAUUGGAACAGUUACAAUCGAGCGGUAGUUUCAUAGGCAUUGUUUCCCCAAGCAGUCAGUGUCGGAAAGUGUGGGCAGGAGCUAUGCCAAAGGGUCCCCAUGCCCCCUAAUAACCCCACAGUUUAAUGUAAAGCUCAAUGUAAUACAUUGGAUAAAAAAAACCGAACAACUGUUAACAAUGGAUAUCUUGGUUCUC
rnacentral:misc_RNA from 1 species